rnacentral:lncRNA from 1 species
GGAAAUACACAAUUUAAAAAAAUGGAAAAAGUACAUUAGUAUUUAAACAUCUAUCUUAAAAUGUAAAUCAAUAUUAAAAUAUAAAAUUAUUAGUAAAUAGAAAGUACAAGAAAUAGAAAUACACAAUAUAAAGAAAAAUAAAUAAUAAGUAAAUAUAUAAUAUAAUCUCGAAAGAUGACACGUGGCAUAAAAUAUAGUUUUACAUUUAAUAUUAUUAUUUUCGAAAAUUAUAAAAAAUAUGUAAACAUACAGCAUAAAAAAAUAGAAAAACUACAUUAAACAUAUGUAAGAUUACUAUUUUUAACUUAAAAAAAGACAGCUUAUCUCCAUAACGUAACAUUACCGUUUUAUAAAAAAACAAAAACAUUAUAUAUAAUUUCGAAAAUAAUAAAUAUAUGUAAAACAUACAACAUAAAAAUGGAAAUACUACAUUAAACAUAUGUAAGAUUACAAUUUUACAUUUUUAUUUUAAGAAAAUAAUAUGUAAACAUACAACAUAAAAAAUGGAAAAACUACAUUAAACAUAUGUAAGAUUACCAUUUUUCACUAAAAA